CGAGAGCUUGCUAGGUAGUGAGUAUUUGAAUGAACAGAUCAUUCCUACUCAGACUUGCCUUGCUUUUUCAUUUAGCCUUUCAAGAGGCAACAGAAUGUGGUUGGUUAGAGUCUGGAAUCUGAUGAUAAUGUUUUCUUUCUUUUUUUAAAAAAUAUUAAUUUUUUAGUUAUAGGUGGACACAAUAUUUUAUUUUUAUGUGGUGCAGAGGAUUGAAACACUCUACCUCUUAGCCACAAUCCCAGCCUUGAUAAUAAUGUUUUAAAGUUCCACUUUGCCAUAUUUUAUCUGAAUAACCCUUAGGCAAGUUAAUUCUCUGAGCCUCAACUAACUCAUAUCUUCAAUGGGUGUAAGAGUGCCAACUCCUAAGCUGACUUUGAAGAACAAAUGGUGUCAUAUUUGAUUGGCACUGGCACAAAGCAAUUUCUAAAUAAAAAUAAAGUUUUGGUUGGCUUAUACAGGGUAGAGUGGAUUCAACUCAAAGCCUUGGGAGGAAAAAUAGAUGUCCACAAAUCCUAUCUCCAAGAGAAAAAAUUUCAAACAUAGACUUUUGUGCCAGAGAGAUCUGGGUUCUAAUUCUAGUUCUAUCAUUUGAAAGUUACUUCAUGAGUGUUAGUUUUUCUUACCUAUAAUGUGGAGAAAAAUGAUACAUCAUUUUUAGGUCUAAGGUGAAGAUUAGAGAUAAUCCCUUAAAAAAAGCUAAGAUGGCACCAGUCCUGGGCUCUGUGCAGCACAGGAUUGCUGAGUCCCAGCUUCGUGGGUGAUGGGGUGUGAGAGUGGAGGGGAAGAGAUGAUGCAAGCAGACAAUCUAGCAAUCAGUAGGUAGAAAUUCUUCUCUAAGGCUCUGAUGAGCUUAGCUCAAGGACUAUCUUUUGGACUUCCUCUUAUUUUUCUGUCUGGUUGGGAGUCACCAGGCUAACUGUCAUGCUGUGGUAGCUAUGCUAUGGCCCCUCACUGGUGGGUCACCAUGUUUUAUGUCCCCUCAAUCCCCUUUAAUGAAAAACACUUGCAUUCAGUAAAUCUUUCCUUUGCUCUUAUUAAAGCACUUGAUGUUGGUUAUUGAGGUCUCUUCCAAGCUGGGCGAGAAUCAAUAAGGUGAUCCACUUAAUCACUUCAGCAAUCAACAAGCUCUUUUCUUAGUUUGCACUCUGGUCAGUGCCCACAGAAAUGCAAAGACUUAUCAGGCCCACAGAGCUGCAGGGAGACCCCUCCCUUCACUUCCCUUCUCCCUGUUGGCCUUAGGGAGUCCCAAGUCAUCUGAAACAGUCCUGCCGACUGCUUGGCAUUUGGGCUGUGUUUGGCAAGAUAAUGACCAACCCUGCAUUUAUGUUAAGUUCUCUUUAACAUUAAAGGACCCUCAGAGCUGUGAGGGGUUAACACUCUAUUAUAGACAGUCUUGAUUCGACUAUUGUGUCUUUGUAUACUCUGUGCACAGUUUAGAAUGAGAGCUACCCUGUCCUUACAUAUCAGAGUCUUUCUCCCAUUUGAGAUGCAAAUUCUAAGCAAGGUGACUAUGGUUCACAACAAUUUAUUACAUAUUUUGUAAAGAACUAAAAGAGAGGCAUUCAAAGUUUCCUAAUACAAAUAAAAGGAAAAUGUUUACAGAGAUGGAAGUGUUCAUUACUCUAAAUUGAUCAUUAUAUAUUAUAUACAUGUGUUGAUUUAUCCUAAUGUACCCCACAAAUAUGUAC
rnacentral:lncRNA from 1 species